rnacentral:rRNA from 1 species
AAGUCGAACGGCAGCGCGGGGAGCUUGCUCCCUGGCGGCGAGUGGCGCACGGGUGAGUAAUACAUCGGAACGUGUCUUCUAGUGGGGGAUAACUGCCCGAAAGGGCAGCUAAUACCGCAUGAGACCUGAGGGUGAAAGCGGGGGAUCGCAAGACCUCGCGCUGGAAGAGCGGCCGAUGUCCGAUUAGCUGGUUGGUGAGGUAAAGGCUCACCAAGGCGACGAUCGGUAGCUGGUCUGAGAGGACGACCAGCCACACUGGGACUGAGACACGGCCCAGACUCCUACGGGAGGCAGCAGUGGGGAAUUUUGGACAAUGGGGGCAACCCUGAUCCAGCCAUGCCGCGUGCAGGAUGAAGGUCUUCGGAUUGUAAACUGCUUUUGUCAGGGACGAAAAGGGAUGCGAUGACACCGUAUUCCGCUGACGGUACCUGAAGAAUAAGCACCGGCUAACUACGUGCCAGCAGCCGCGGUAAUACGUAGGGUGCAAGCG